UGGGGAAUAUUGGACAAUGGGGGCAACCCUGAUCCAGCCAUGCCGCGUGUGUGAAGAAGGCCUUUUGGUUGUAAAGCACUUUAAGCAGUGAAGAAGACUCCAUGGUUAAUACCCAUGGACGAUGACAUUAGCUGCAGAAUAAGCACCGGCUAACUCUGUGCCAGCAGCCGCGGUAAUACAGGGGGUGCAAGCGUUAAUCGGAAUUACUGGGCGUAAAGCGAGCGUAGGUGGCUUGAUAAGUCAGAUGUGAAAGCCCCGGGCUUAACCUGGGAACGGCAUCUGAUACUGUUAGGCUAGAGUAGGUGAGAGGAAGGUAGAAUUCCAGGUGUAGCGGUGAAAUGCGUAGAGAUCUGGAGGAAUACCGAUGGCGAAGGCAGCCUUCUGGCAUCAUACUGACACUGAGGUUCGAAAGCGUGGGUAGCAAACA
rnacentral:rRNA from 1 species